AUUGAACGCUGGCGGCAGGCCUAACACAUGCAAGUCGAGCGGAUGAAGGGAGCUUGCUCCUGGAUUCAGCGGCGGACGGGUGAGUAAUGCCUAGGAAUCUGCCUGGUAGUGGGGGAUAACGUCCGGAAACGGGCGCUAAUACCGCAUACGUCCUGAGGGAGAAAGUGGGGGAUCUUCGGACCUCACGCUAUCAGAUGAGCCUAGGUCGGAUUAGCUAGUUGGUGGGGUAAAGGCCUACCAAGGCGACGAUCCGUAACUGGUCUGAGAGGAUGAUCAGUCACACUGGGACUGAGACACGGCCCAGACUCCUACGGGAGGCAGCAGCGGGGAAUAUUGGACAAUGGGCGAAAGCCUGAUCCAGCCAUGCCGCGUGUGUGAAGAAGGUCUUCGGAUUGUAAAGCACUUUAAGUUGGGAGGAAGGGCAGUAAGUUAAUACCUUGCUGUUUUGACGUUACCAACAGAAUAAGCACCGGCUAACUUCGUG
rnacentral:rRNA from 1 species